rnacentral:rRNA from 1 species
AUGAACGCUGGCGGCGUGCCUAAUACAUGCAAGUCGCGCGAACAGACGAGGAGCUUGCUCCUCUGACGUUAGCGGCGGACGGGUGAGUAACACGUGGAUAACCUACCUAUAAGACUGGGAUAACUUCGGGAAACCGGAGCUAAUACCGGAUAAUAUAUUGAACCGCAUGGUUCAAUAGUGAAAGACGGUUUUGCUGUCACUUAUAGAUGGAUCCGCGCCGCAUUAGCUAGUUGGUAAGGUAACGGCUUACCAAGGCAACGAUGCGUAGCCGACCUGAGAGGGUGAUCGGCCACACUGGAACUGAGACACGGUCCAGACUCCUACGGGAGGCAGCAGUAGGGAAUCUUCCGCAAAGGGCGAAAGCCUGACGGAGCAACGCCGCGUGAGUGAUGAAGGUCUUCGGAUCGUAAAACUCUGUUAUUAGGGAAGAACAAAUGUGUAAGUAACUAUGCACGUCUUGACGGUACCUAAUCAGAAAGCCACGGCUAACUACGUG